UUAAGUAUCUAUUAAUUAAGAGUUGUGAGUGAUCAAAUCAACCUGCUAACUACAGACUCUGAAACAAAGAGUUAGGAUGGUAUAAAAGCCUCAGUUUUUUGGCGACUGUCCUCUUUCAACAGAAACUAUCUUGAACAGAAUAACUGCUGGACUACAAGAUGAGGCUCAAAUACACCUGGGGGAAAACAGAAUAACCAUCUGCCAACAUCCCUGUACCUUGUGGUAGAAGUACGAUCAAGAUAUGAGAGAUCCUUAGACCAGAGGGUAAACAAGCUCUAAAGAAAAAGAAAAGACAGCUGAAAAGGAAAAUUCACCAGUACCAAUGGCGGAUGGAUGGAUGAAGCCCAGUAAAUAUAUUUUGCUUAUUCGUUUGAUUAUUUUAUGAGGUU